AAGAACCUGAGCUUCAUUAAGUCCUGAAACCAGGUAAUGCAUCCAAGAAAGAGUCAUCCACUGAGUUAUUUCCCCUCAUUCGUCUCCCUUCAUCCAAGCUGAGGAAAAGAGACAGCCACCUGGCAAAGGUCUAGUCCAAGGUGCCUUUGAAAUGUCCUGCGGAAGCACCUCUGAUUCCCCAGCAUUCCUGUUAGAAGAUAAGCCGUCUCCAGAUUUUUAUUUUUCUCCGUAAGGGAGGACCCCAGCCCAUAGGACAGUUCUGCCUGAGAAGUAGGAAUGUUUUUCCCCAGUGACUGGAGCAAAGGCAGCAAAAUUCCACAUUUCAUGGGUCCGGGGUCACGGCUACUCUGAAGGUUGGUGUGAUUCUAGCCAUUACCAAGGGUAUAUUCUAGACUUUGCCCAGUUCUCAGUCGCCUCCUCUAUACAGAGUCCUUCCACAUCGCAGGAGUCCCCAGGGAAGCCGGGACAGGCCCACAGCAGUCCCAAACCUGAGUCAUCCUGUGACCAACAACUUCCCAGGGAAGCCCUCCAGCCAAGGGCCCGCCUGCUGGACGGCCUCAUUCAGACAGGGUCCCACAGGCCCCCUGUGCCUCCUCCAGGCACAGGUGUUUGAUCCCGAAGCAGCACCUGCUGAGCCCCCAGCCCACCCACUGUGCCAGCCAGGGUUCUGAGCAGCCCUGUCUUCAAGGUGGAUGAGAGCUGACUCUAUUUUAAGGAAAUGAAGUGCGUCUUUGAGUCAAAGCAUGUGAUACAAAUGACCUUUCUGUGGCAACAUGAUUAAAAAUAGGCAGUUACAGGAAAUUUUUCAACUCUUGAGACAUUAAUGGAUGUAGAUGUAAAAAAAUAGACUAACUUCCCUCAUCUUCCCAUUAGUGAUGUGUGUGGGCAGACAGGGCUACUUUUUGCCACCUUGACAGACCGAAUACUGCCUGUGCGUGGGAUAGGAGCAUUUCUAGGCUAGCCAUUCCCCCAAUGUGAGGUUGUGGAAUUUGUAUGGUACUUACCGACCGACUGGCUCACCCAAAUCUGAGUGUGUUUCAUUCUUUGGGUUUGGUGGCUGGAUUUUUGCAUGAACAGCAAGGAGUAGCUGAAUUCUCCCUUUCAGUUUGCACCCUCUAGAUCAAGGGACAGCAAACUUUUUCUGUAAAGAACCAGAUAGUAUAUAUUUUAGGCUUUGUUGACCGUACACUUUCCGUAGCAACUGCUCAACUCUGCUGGUAUAGUGUGUGGGUAAGCAGCCACAGGUAGUAUGCAAACAAAUGGGCUUGGCCAUGGUUACAGUAAACCUUUAUUUGCAAAAGCAGGUGGCAGGCUUGAUUUGGGCCUGAAGGCUCUAGGUUGCCCAGCCCUGCUCUGGAGUCAAAGAGGUGAGGAUAUUCACCCUCCUUCCCUGUUUUCAAGGGAUGCCUGAGAAUUAUGCGUUCGUUGAUUCGCGCAUCCAUUCAGCAAAUGCUUACCCAGCGGUCUGCCGCCAUGCCAAGCUCCAUAACGUUAGUUUAGGAUGCAACAGACAACAGCACAUACCAAGCUCCCUGCCUCACAGAGCUUACACCGUAGAAAAGAGGGGCGCAUUCUCGGGUGCGAGGACGAUGUUAGUGGCAGGGGAAUGAGCUCAGGGAGCUCAGGGGAACCGACCUUAGUGUCUGACAUGGAAGCAAUCGUAAAGACUUUGGCUUUUCCUCGGUGUGAAAUGAGGAACCAUUGGAGAACUUUGAACAGAGAAGUGACAUGAUCUAACUUAUGUGUUGAAAAUAAAUGUAAACUGUGUCAAUGGUAGACUAAAGGAUGGAUGCAGGGAUACCCAGGAGGAGGAUGUAGCUGUAGCAGUGCUUGAGGAGAGAGAGGGCGGCAGCGUGAACUAGAGCGGUAACAGGGAAGGGAGUGAGAAGUGUUUAGAUCCGUGGUAUAUUUUGAAGGUAGAGCCAACACGACUUCCUAAUGGCUGCGUGAUGUGUGUGAG